rnacentral:lncRNA from 1 species
UGAGCUGCAUUCCAUAUUACAGUCUGCAACAUACAAAGUCUCCAUUGGUGUUAUUUACAUUCUCCUGCCUAAUUUGUAUUCCAGAUAGGUGUUGUAUUUUAUUAUUUUUUCUAAUAGAUGCUCAUGCACUUGUGACAUUGAAUUUUGGGAGUUCCUACAGGAUGUUCAUUAUUGUAGUUCACGUAAUCAUUACCAUUUCACCUUUCAAUUUAUAUUUUAUACGAAAAUUGGAAAAUAAAAUCACAAGCGUUCUAUGAGUACCAGGUUUCAGUCUAUUUAUUUAAUGGGGUUUAUGAUUUUAAAAAAUAAUGAAAUGAGUAACUAAGUUGAUUAAUCAUCUUUGACUUAUCUGAUGGCGGCGUUAGGCACUAUCACACCCUAUAGUAGAUUUUGGAUCAUAACAUUCAUUGUUUGCGAAGACACAUACAUUAGCAAAUUUCUUUUUGUUCCAACAAUUACUCUGUCAUUGUUCUUGUAAACUGACAUAAGGAUGACAGUAAAAACAUAUGGAAGGCAUAUCUCUUGCUCUCAUAAAUAUUAAAUAUCAUAUAUUAAAAGACAGGGGAGGUUGCUAAAGCUCUUUUAAAUAACAAGAACUUCUCAUAAACUCAAUUAACCGUGAUAUUUUGUAGUUUCAAAAUAUGCAAUAUUAUUUUAAAAACUUAAAAAAUUAUGUCCCAAUUCAUGGUCAUAUUUAAAAAAAUUGGUACUGAAUUUCGAACUGCAACACAUAAAUUAGGACAGAGGUAACACUUUAAACCAGCAAGCCAACCUUGAAUUCUAGUGCUACAAAAGAUAUUAAUCUUAAUGGGAUGUCAUUUUCAUAUUGAUCCUGUAACGUUAUUUUAGCCAGCGAUAUGUUUUAAGAACUUCUGGUCAAAUAUUGGUAUAAUGCAUUUUGCUCAGCCUUAUUUAUCAAAAAAAAUCCAGUGCCUGCAUUUAUGACUAAUUCCAGCAAAGCCCUCUAUCAACCCUCAAUUUCACAAAAUAAGAAGUUUGUAUAUUUUAAGAGAAAGUGCAUAUAUAAUGGAUGAAGAAAUAACUAAUAUUAUUUCCAGCACCUUGGUAUAUUUGAUAAUUAUACUUUUCUUUUUCCUUGUAGAUUAAUUUUUUUCUUUUCAUUAGAAUCUUGAUAUCUUAGAUUCCUAAAAAGGGAAUCAAUAAAAUACCCUACUCGACAAGAAAAAUAUAUAGUAAAGAACGUCAUCAAAUAGAUUGGUCUAUUUUGUGACACCGCUUUGUCGAAAAUUAUUAAAUAUAUGUAUUAAUAUUGUAUGAAAACUGUUAAGUAGAAAAAAAUGAUAUCACUUGUUAUAAAUUGUGUGUUGGUCUAUUGGUAAUAUGCUUGAUUUUUUUCUAAGGGGUAAAGGUUCAAACUUCAACUAGGACAUUUUCUUUUGUAAAUAUUUGCUUAAGCAACAAAAUCAAAUAGAUUAAGACUAUUUCUUGUCAAAAAGUAUGAUAAUCAAAGUUAUAUUAUAAAUUUCGACAUCGCUUAUAAAAAUUCUUGCGUACACCCCAGAUAUCACCGCCUUUAGAUACGCCAUUACCAUCGGCAAAGUUUGACGUGCUAAUUCUUUGAAAAUAUAAUAAUUAUGCUACAUAUCAUUGAAAAUACAAAUUAAAUAUUUACUAACAUAACUAAUUUGAUACUACCGUAACAUUAUCUGCUCAUACUUGAACUCGUUGUAUUUAUAUAUGCAAACCGUACAAAGUUUGAACUUUAAUGUGUAAAUUCUUGUAUAGAACAUUUCAAUGUGAUUCUAGCUAAUUAUAUUUAAUUAGUUAAAUGAUUAGGUAUCACUAACUAGAAUUGAGAAAAUAUAUAUCUUGCUGAUACAUAGGAAAUCAUAAGCCAGAUAGAGAUUUCCAAAAAGAAAACACACAGGAAAUUAUCUAAGUUAUUUUGCGUUUUACUAUCAUCAAAAGGUAAAUUUUAUUGACAAUUAUGUGGAUCCAACUGCACCCAUUUUUGUAAAAACAAUAUGUUUAACUUCCCCACUAUGCUUAGUUCUUUAAUUUACCUCUUUAGAUUUUCCUCCCAGAUGAAUAGGAGAUAAAAAUUUUAAAGAAAGAGAAAGUUCUAAGCAAGGGGGAAUUUGAGAAAGAAUAAAACAAAUUAAUAUUAAACUAAUUAAAAAAGAUAAAAGAAAAAAAAAAUCAGUUGACUAUAAAUAGUAAGGUAACAAAAAGGGAGUACUAAGUAUCGUUGAAUUAAGAACAAGUAAUAAAAAAGGAAGAAGAAACAAAGAAGAAUUUUAAAAACAGACAGAUUGUUGGUUCGAAUGCAGGCAAAUAGGCGCAGUAACAAACUUUCACUGUCCACUAAUACCACUCAUCUCCCGCAACAUUUUUGUUCUGUUGGGGCUAAAGAAAAUAUAUUACGGAUUCUUAGGCCAUCUUCAACCUUUACACCAUCUUUUUGUUUUACUUCAAUUAUUCUCCUACUUUUCUUCUUAAAUUUU